rnacentral:lncRNA from 1 species
GGCACCAAGACAAGGUUUUUUAUAUGUCGUGCGUGAGAACCUCUCAAGGCAUGUGCUAGGCGGCCAAAGGGGCUAGCAUGCUAGGCAUUGAGAACCUCCAAAGUGUCAAGCUAUGCAUCAUGGCAAGCCAAGAGCAUGUGAGGUGAGCUAUCCAGCCAAGGCAAGAGAGACGUUCAAGGGUGGUCGGUUGAGUGGAGAACAAGUGUCCACAACAUGCAAGACUCCAAAUUUUGGCAAGUAAGAGGUGGCAAGGUUGAGAUGCAAAGAACUCUAUAAAUAGCUCAUUUUCAAAUAGAAGGUGCUCUCAAUUUGCUUGUGCAUUUUCUCUCAAACCAGUUGCAAAAGUUCAUUAAGGAGUCUAGUAGGUGAAGUAAGGUUGUUGGACAAGGAGGAUGCGAAGAAGGUAUUCAAGUUCAAGAAAGAAGGAAAGGUUAGUUUUCAAAGGAUUUUAAGUAUCGUGGACUUUAUGAAGGAUAUAGAACAUAUCACUCCAAAUUUGAAACGGAAAUUUGGAGGUAAGCUAGUUAAGACAAUUCUAAGCAAGUUUGAAGAAUGAAUUUUUUUUUUUUCUUUUUGUUGCUAGAUUAAAAUUUAUGGACGCUUGAAGUUGAAAGAAGUAUUUUGGAAAUUCGUAGUUUUCUGCGUAAGGUUAAAGGUGGCUAAGGGUGUUGUGUUUUAAAGGUAAGAGGUUAUCUAGGCUUAGAAGCAUUCACAUGACUUGGUCAGCGCAUAACCAGGCGGUGUGGGACAUGCACUUGGGCCAUGCGGUAGAGAGGGGUGUUCGGAUGCCCACACAAAAUGAGGUGCAUAGCUAUUUCAUGCGGUCAUGGGCGUGAGACAGGUUGAGCACGAGGCAAGCAUGCGACCAGGAACCCUUAGGGCCUAUGUACGCGCACAUGCUAGUUGUCGCCCAUGCUCAGCUGCCAACCAUGCCAUGUCACCAUUGUUUGGGCAGUUUGGGUGUUUUUGAGAUUUUUUAGCUAAGUUUUGAUGUUUUCUGAUUUUAGAGGUUUAAAAUGAGUCUAAAUUCUCUAAUUUCUAGAUAAGAGGAGAUUGGACAAACUUAUAGGUUGAGGAGUUAGCUACCACUUGUUAGUGACAAAUGAGUUUCAAAACUUGAUUUUAGAACUUGUUUUACUUAGUUUAUAU